CAAGAAGGGGAUAUUGAAACUUGAAAAGCAAAAGUUUUUGGUCUAAACAACUAGAAGCUGAAAAUUGCCAAGAUGAGGAAAGACUACAGGAGAAGCAGGUUCUCUUUUAUACCUGAAUAUAAGAAACAAACUGAGGAAUGUAAUAACGAGCCCAAACUGGUUUCCUGGGAAAGGACAAGAAAGUAAAUGGAAAUGCUGGCCAGAGUAUGUUGCCACCCAAGGAGGACCCUGAUAGCAAGAAAUGGUUUUAUUUCCAGAAACCAGAAGGGGGUGGAAGCCAGCCUAUGAAUUUUUUUCUGGUC